GUUGCUUGUGGAUAAUUCAAGUAAUCCACGUCCUGGCUUUUAGACGGGGUCGCAUGUGCCGCAGAAAGAAAGACCAUUACGAUCACGUAGUCCACAUAUCAAAAGAAGGGACACCAAACACAAAUUGCACAAGAAGAUAAAAAGAACCGCAAAUCGAGACUUUGAGUAGCAGGUGAGCGAAGAAGACCUCGAGCACAAACAGCUGAACGUGACAUUCCUAGAAUGCUCGCGUUGAUCCUUGAAGUCUGCCGAAAGGUACUGAGGAAGGAGAAUGAAUUGCUUGUUCGUUUGGGUCGGAUCAAGAGGUAUCGGAGACAAGAUCUUUUACAAACUCGCGAACGAGAUCAGAGUGAGCAACGCGGUUCAUUAUUCGAAAG